CGUAUGUACAGAGGAAGCCACUGGUAGCCCAGAUAUGUCGAUGGGUCUAGAUAUUAAGAAACGUGACGCAAAGAAAUUGGAAGAAGGCUGUUGUGGCCCCCUACUGUAGUUGUACCCUAAGACAGCAACGUGUUCGCCUUGACUUCGACGAGCAACCAAGACAAGUGAUACUGAAUAAUCGUAUUUUUAACGUGACCUCACUAUAUUUCUCAAUGAAUAUUCACUUAUUCUCUUGAUAAAAGUUUAAAUAUUACAAAUCACAAUGAACUUUCAGGACAGGAUUGGUGUUUAUUGAAAAGGCUUUGAAAUUUGCGUCGAAAACAGUUUUAGAACUUAUUUCCUUGAUUGUAUGAACAGGUGUUGAAAAUGAAAACAAAAUAAAAAUCACAUAAAGUGAAGUGAACAGAAAAAAAAAACAUGUUUCCAAAGCCUAUGUAGUUCUCCCAGAGUUUCAAAUUUCCGCUACUAAUGGUAUUUUUUUCCCCACGGUGGACAGAAGAUAUUCCAAGUUGUCCGUCUGAAAUACUCAUCUUCAUUCAAGUAUGUUGUAACAACAACUACAUGACUCUUUGAAGGAUGCGUCAUCAUGGCGGUGAUAACAAUUUCUACCACCAUGAUUUCAUUAAAUUUUCAAUCAAAGAUGGCGGCGGCCAGUGUUACACUCAGAUAUUUUAAUAUCAUCUGUAAUUCUUAUAUCACAAUGAAUACACAUGGCGUGAUCAA